rnacentral:rRNA from 1 species
CAGCCGCCGCGGUAAUACAGAGGGUGCGAGCGUUAAUCGGAUUUACUGGGCGUAAAGCGUGCGUAGGCGGCUUCUUAAGUCGGAUGUGAAAUCCCUGAGCUUAACUUAGGAAUUGCAUUCGAUACUGGGAAGCUAGAGUAUGGGAGAGGAUGGUAGAAUUCCAGGUGUAGCGGUGAAAUGCGUAGAGAUCUGGAGGAAUACCGAUGGCGAAGGCAGCCAUCUGGCCUAAUACUGACGCUGAGGUACGAAAGCAUGGGGAGCAAACAGGAUUAGAUACCCCUGUAGUCCCUGUCUCUUAUAC